AAAAGAUCAAGAUGUUCUAAAAAUCUAGCAAUCUUAAGCCAAUGGAAGUUUGACAUGUAGGUCUGUUCAGCUCUUCAGCACACGUGUCUUCAUCGGGGCAUAAUUCGUUCAGCUUCAGUCUCGUUCUCCUUCUGCUUCCUACUUUUGUUCGUUUGCGUUUUCUGUUUCUCGCUCAACCUGUGUUUUCGUUUGAUACGAUUUAGCAAUGGAAGUCUGUUCACUUUCGACGACCUCAAGAAGCUAUCUGUCUUCUCCUUCAACAGGUCUCUCUCUGUCUCUGGAUUUUGUUGCUUUGCGAUCAGUAGCACGGCGUCUCACAAUAAUAGAAUUGUAUUUCAAUCUUGAUUAUUGUUAAUCCUGUGAUUUUUUUUCAAUCGAUAAUUCUCGUUAGUUAUUUCAUUUUAGCUCCUAUCAUUUUGCAUCUAUUCGUGUCUUUUUGUUUUGUUUGAUUUUGUUUGUGAUUGUAUAUGGAGUAUAAAUGUGUGAAAUUUGCAGAGUCGCUGUUGCUUAAGAGGCUUAGACUUCCUUUACGGCAUCAAUGUUUACCAUCAAUUUCAUUGAGACGCAUUGGAUCUCUAGUUUACAAGGAAAACUCUGCGAAGGUUAUUAAUAUUAUUUAUCUUUUUCGAAUCGUCGUUCUUAGUUUUGCAGUUGCACCUUUCUGUUUUAAAACUGGGUGAAAAUUUUGAGUAGUUCUUUAUUUGCAACAUCAAUUUGUAGUUUGAUAUCUAUGGUAUCAGGUUUUCUGCAGCCUAAAGAGGGAAAUUUCCAUUAUAGAGGCCAGGUAUGUGCCUUUUUGUCUAGAAUCAGACAUAUUUUGUAAUAUGAUGUCUUCUUGCAUGCAUAUUUCUCAGCUCAAAUUUGAAGUCAUGACGUGAUCUUCAAAUUUCAGUACAUCCAUUCUCCAUUUUCCUUGUUUGUUAUGCUCUGGAGAGUAUUUAUAAGCAAUCUAUUAGACUGUUGUGGUGUAUGCAUUGAUCUCAGAGCAAGUUAGAUAGCAAAUGAGAAAAAGAAACGAGAGCAUUAAAAGUAUUCUCUCCAUCAAUGACUAUGGGUGUUUUUGGCAAUGAUUUGAUUGUUUUCCCAAGGAAAUUUUGGGUGUUCAAGGGUCAAUUUGAAAUUCACCAAAAUACAGCUCAACUGAACCUUACCCAAUUUACUUAGGGUUAUAUUUGUGAAUAUUUAUCUAUCUUCUUCAUUAAUGGCUACUGUUGCUUCGAUUGCCUUGCAGUUCCAUGGACGAGAUAUAUGAUGCUUUAGCUGAGCGCCUUGUUCCUACUGCAGCAGCAGCAUCAAAUCCUAAUCUGAAGCUUGGCUGGUCCUCCUGGUGCUGGAAAGAGCACUUUGGGUUCUGAGGUAGUGCGACGCAUAAAUGAGUUAUGGCCCCAAAAAGCUUCUUCAUUUGAUUCUCAAGUUAAGCCUCCUGAUGUUGCUGCAAUUCUUCCCAUGGAUGGGUUCCAUCUAUAUCGUUCCCAACUUGAUGCAAUGGAGAAUCCAGAGGAAGCCCAUGCAAGAAGGGGAGCUCCCUGGACAUUUGCUCCAACUCUACUGCUUGAAUGUCUAAACAAACUGAGAAAUGAGGGAUCAGUUUAUGCACCAUCAUUUGAUCAUGGUAUUGGAGAUCCUGUUGAAGAUGAUAUCUUUGUGAGCCUUCAGCAUAAAGUGGUCAUUGUUGAGGGGAACUAUCUUUUGUUGGAAGAAGAGGUUUGGAAGGAUAUAUCAUCUAUGUUUGAUGAGAAGUGGUAAGGAUUAUGUUUGUACCUGACUAUUAUACUACAGUGAAGACUAGGAAUAAGAUGCUUAAUGUUUUUUAUAGUUUGAAGUCUAGUCUUUAUACGUUUGAUGGUGAAUAUCUCCAUUUGUAAGUUUUGAGAUUCUGCUGCUGGGUGCUUUUAUCUUGUAAUUUAGAUUAGUGUUUUAUAAUCUCAUACAUCAAUUUUCCUGCUUUGAAAUAAUGCAUAGAAAGUGCAUCAGGCUAUCAACUUUUAGCCGUCUUUAUAGGUGACUAUCAUCCCAUGACAUUGGCCUUGCAAGAAUUAAGAAGUUUAAUUUAGAAAGGUUAAAUAUUAUGUUUAUAGUGUUUCUUUAUUUUUCAGUUUUCCUUUGACACUUUUGAAUGGUCAGCACUGUUGGAUACUUAUUAUUCAGACAACUUCACUUUGUGCAGGAGAAUAGAAGUGUCUAUGAAUUCAUUUCAAUUUUUUGCUCCAUCGUCCAUAUUUGCACCACCUUCACAGAAAGUCUUAAUCAUCUUUCUUGGUUUUGGAAACUUGAAUUUUGAUUUUUAUGUUUUGACUGUUUGAAUAAUCGGUAAUUGAUUCUAUGAAUUCAGUCGAAUUUUCUUGUCAUUUUUUUAAAGGUUUAUAGAUGUUGACAUUGACAAGGCAAUGGAACGAGUUUUAAAAAGACAUGUCUCAACAGGUACUGGCAUGUUAAUUUUAUCACUUCCCAUACAAGGGAAAUGAAAAAGAAACUAUUUUUCCUUAUUCAAAUUUAAAUUUUAUGUUGUAGCAGGAAAGCCUCCUGAUGUUGCUAAGUGGCGGAUAGAUUAUAAUGAUCGGCCCAACGCAGAGCUUAUAAUCAAGUCAAAGAAAAAUGCAGACUUGGUAAUCAGGUCUGUUGAUUUCUAAAAUCGUGCUGCUUACAAUAAUAGUGGAGAAAUAAGAAUGAGGUGGGUUGAGUUUGUUUGCUUUACAUUAAAUAAAACAACUCUUUCUCUGUGACUAAAAUGAAAGAAAGUGUGGUAAUGUUUUAGUUUCCAUGAUUGUUUCACAGAAAAGUUUUCAUUAUUUUCGUCUGAUCUUGGUCUUUUUAUAACAUCUGAUUUUGAAGACCGUUGACACUUAGAAUUCUUCCUGCCACUGCUUUACCCCCCUUUCUAUUCUCGGGAUUCUAACUGUGUGAUUAUUAAUUAGGAAUGAACUCCUAUGAUGCCAUGGGGAUGCUGCAAUAUGCACGUGAAAAUUUUGGUGAUAGGUAGUGUCAAAUUACAUCAUUGAUCUUUUUUUUCCGAAGGAGGGGGGGAAUUUUUGGUUGGGUAUCCAUGUUCUGUUCUACAUCAAAAAUUGUCAAAAUGUAGCUUUGAAUUGCUGUUAGUGACAGGAAAACGAUUAGAAAAUAAGCCCAACGAUUUAAUUGAUGAGCUUUUCUCAAUCUAGAAUAAAUUUGAGGUAGAACUAUGAGUCAUAAGAUUUCAUUAUUGUAACUUCCAUUUUUGUUAUGCACUUUUCAAUUCUAUUGGGGCUUGGAUUGAGAUUCUUCUCUAUAACUAUACAAUUAAGGUAGUUCUCUUUACUUCCAGGUACUUCCUGCUCCACCUAGUGGAAUUCAAAUCUCUUGACAUAGAUCUCAACCAUUCACGGAUAGGAUGUACCCUUGGAGACAGUAACUUGUAAACAUUUAACUCAGUCAAGACGGGUUAAGUGAGUAAUCGUCUUGAGUUACGAACAUCCAUCUUUUUUAACUCUUCUUUCUUGAUUUUUCUCGUCCUUCUAUUUUUAUUUUUCAACGGAGUGCUAUUAAGUCAUAAACUUUAGUCUAAACUCCAGAAAGAAAGCAAA
rnacentral:misc_RNA from 1 species